CCUCCCCCGGGUUGGACCUACCUCUAAUCACUCUCGGUCCUCGCCUCCAACGUUGCUUUGGAGAACUGGCAGUCACGGCUCACCCUCCCGCCUCCGGAAAGCUAACUUUAUUUUUAUUGGUAGAAAGACAUCUUCCUGUGCACCUGAUUGGAUAUUUCUAGAGCCAGCAAGGUGACUCAAAGGAUGAGAGCAGGUGCCAUGAAAGCUUGAGAGCCUUCGCUUCUACAAACCAUGCGAAGAAAGCACGGAUGUGGUGGCACAAAUCUGUCAGACCUCUACUACGAAGGUGAGUGAAGAAGGAGUUACAUUCUAAAGGCAGCUGCUGGGUGAAAAUGUUACUAGAAAGAAGAAGAAAUACACCACAGAUUCAUUAGCUCUCUAGCUGAAUAUCCGUGGUGGACUCGUCAUGUAUCUUGGGCGUAUCAUUUAACUUGGAGAAGCAAAAGGCAUCAUAGAAAGGCCACCUAGAUCCAGUUCAGUCCCUUUUGCCAUGAAAGGACCACUGAGUCCAGCACCCAAAGCACACGCAGUAGGUGAUUUUUCAUUUUUUUUUUAAAUUAGCGUACCUGAAAGACUAAAUGGCUUGCUUUCCCAUGACUAGUUUUUGUGGUUGUUUAUUUGUUUUUCUUUUUGGUGGGACUGAGAAUUGGCUUUCCAGUCUCUCAUAAUCAAGACAAGUGCUGUCCCCCCCAACCCUACUUUUGGUGGGGACCCAGUUUUCUGACAGGUUACUCUUGGGCCUACUAUCCUUUUCCCUCCAACUCCUUAGGCUGCAUGUCCCACGCUUGGUUCCUCUGUCACUGUGCUGAUGUUAUUAGUACCCACUUAGAAAUGACCUUAAAACUUGCUAGACUUCAAGAUAUAUUAUCAAGUGUCCUGCAAAGUAUGACUUUGUACCUUGGAAGAGCUGGAACACUUUAAAGAAAGCAGGAAGCAAUAUUCAAUAUGUUCCCAUGUAUGGAUAAAAGAAGAGUCAAUAGAAAUAUGUAUAGGCACUGUAUUUCAAGUGCUUGCAACCAGCUCUCAACUUUUUACUUUGAAUAGGAUUUCAUGGAUUAUCCAAGGAACUAGAAAUUAUGCUGAGGGUGGGUGGUGGCAUAGAUAGUUACACGACCAGACACUGAUCUCCUUUGUGUGUGUAUGUGGCGGCGGGGGGGGGGGGGGUGAGGGGGGGGUGGGGGGGUUGUCUGUUGAUAGAGAAGAAGAAAAACAAAGGACAAAAGAAACUCUCUUUAAUUAAUCCUACCAACUAAGCAAACAUAAAUGGAACACUGUCUCUGCAACCGAAGCAAGGAGUUGACAACUGAGCAAAGCCACCUGCAAGAGACUUUUGAACACAAGCUACCCAGAGAUCCCAAAUACUGUUGUCUGGCACAGGGAUUGACAAAUCCUCCCCUGUAAGAUCAGAGUGUAGCUGUACUGAGCUUCUCAGGCUGUACAGUCUCUGUUGCAGCUACACUCGGCUGCUGGAGCACAAACCUGACCAAAAACAAUACAGUAGACCAGAACGGAGGGAUC
rnacentral:lncRNA from 1 species